rnacentral:rRNA from 1 species
GAUGAACGCUGGCGGCGUGCUUAACACAUGCAAGUCGAACGGUGAAGCAGAGCUUGCUCUGUGGAUCAGUGGCGAACGGGUGAGUAACACGUGAGCAACCUGCCCCUGACUCUGGGAUAAGCGCUGGAAACGGCGUCUAAUACUGGAUAUGAGCUGCGACCGCAUGGUCAGCAGUUGGAAAGAUUUUUCGGUCUGGGAUGGGCUCACGGCCUAUCAGCUUGUUGGUGUGGUAAUGGCUCACCAAGGCGUCGACGGGUAGCCGGCCUGAGAGGGUGACCGGCCACACUGGGACUGAGACACGGCCCAGACUCCUACGGGAGGCAGCAGUGGGGAAUAUUGCACAAUGGGCGAAAGCCUGAUGCAGCAACGCCGCGUGAGGGAUGACGGCCUUCGGGUUGUAAACCUCUUUUAGCAGGGAAGAAGCGAAAGUGACGGUACCUGCAGAAAAAGCGCCAGCUAACUACGUG